AUCGCUUCUCUGCCUUUUGGCUAAGAUCAAGUGUCCUAUCUGUUCUUAUCAGUUUAAUAUCUGAUACAUCAUCUAUCCGAGGACAAUAUACAGAGUUUGGCCAGAGAGGGAAAAUCCA
rnacentral:snRNA from 1 species